UCCAGUGUGGUGUAGUGGCUAACAUUGCUGUCUUUCAUUUGCGUAGUUCCUAUUGAACAAUCUUCACAGCAGCCCGGGGUUCGAUUCCCCGCAUUGGAA